rnacentral:misc_RNA from 1 species
AAUUAGUAGGAUCAUAGUUCUUUCAUGAAUUCCAAAAACCACACAACUGUAACAAUCUGCAACAAUAGACACACAUACAAUCUAUGCAUUAGUAUAAUCUUGGGAUUUCUUGCUGGGAAUAUAUGUGAAAUGGCAUUUUCUUUCUGAAGAUUUGUGAAAGUGCAUUUAACCAAGAAAAGAAACUGAAAAGAAAUGCAUUAUCAAGCAAAUUAUACCCAAUGGAGAUACAUACAAGUCAUGACUUGCAAUCAGAUAAGCACGUCUGUCACCUAAAGGAAAAUUCAUACCUAGGCAAGAGUACAUGUGAUGAGCACUGUUUGAGAAACAGAGGAUCCCAGAACUAGCAGGUCCUUUUGUUG